rnacentral:sRNA from 2 species
GAUUUGCGUGAGGGGUAGAAACGGCAUCCUUUUGUGACACAAGAGAAGGCACGUUAAACAAAAAUUUUCUGGAACAAAAGAUAUAGUGGAUGACCCGGCCCUAU